UGCCUCGCAAGAGGAGCCUGGAGACAGGUGCUGCAUGGCUGUCGUCAGCUCGUGUCGUGAGAUGUUGGGUUAAGUCCCGCAACGAGCGCAACCCUUGUCUUUAGUUGCCAUCAUUCAGUUGGGCACUCUAAAGAGACUGCCGGUGUCAAACCGGAGGAAGGUGGGGAUGACGUCAAGUCCUCAUGGCCUUUAUGACCAGGGCUACACACGUACUACAAUGGCCGGUACAAAGGGCAGCCACUUAGCGAUAAGGAGCCAAUCCCGUAAAGCCGGUCUCAGUCCGGAUUGGAGUCUGCAACUCGACUCCAUGAAGUUGGAAUCGCUAGUAAUCGCAGAUCAGCACGCUGCGGUGAAUACGUUCCCGGGCCUU
rnacentral:rRNA from 1 species